UGGCAGGCCUAUUUCCACAGGGGGAGGGGCCCAUGGACCACGCCCCCUUGAUCGUUUGUUGGAGUCCUGGUGUUUGUCUCGUGUUACCGUAUUUCUUGUUUCCUGGAGUUGGAGUUCUCGUCGCUGUUUCCUGUUUCCUGUCUGUUCCCUUGGACACUCGUUCUGGAUUAUACUUCGCUCAUCUCAACUCACGGAUUCAUCACGGACACUUCUCACCACGGACUACCACUCACCACGGACACCAUCGCCCAUCAAAGUCCCUGUGUUACCAUCUCUCCUGCUGUCUGUAUUGUGACUGUGUUUGUGUGUUUAUCUGACUUAUCUUGGCGUGAAGCCCUAUUAAAGGGAUUAACUUGC